rnacentral:rRNA from 1 species
GACAGAGGGGGGCAAGCGUUGCUCGGAAUCACUGGGCGUAAAGGGCGCGUAGGCGGGAUGGCAAGUCGGUCGUGAAGUCCUUCGGCUCAACCGAAGAACGUCGGCCGAUACUGCCGUUCUUGAGGGAUGCAGAGGAGAUUGGAAUUCCCGGUGUAGCGGUGAAAUGUGUAGAGAUCGGGAGGAACACCGGUGGCGAAGGCGGGUCUCUGGGCAUCUCCUGACGCUGAGGCGCGAAAGCGUGGGGAGCAAACGGG